rnacentral:lncRNA from 1 species
UCGUCGUUGUUGUCGUUGUUGGCGUUAAUGUCGCUGUUGUAAUUGUUGUUGUUGUUAUCAUUCUUCUCGUUGUUCUCGUCAUUGUCGUUGUUGUCAUCGUUGUCGUCGUCGUCCUUGUGGUUGUUGUUGUUGUAGUAGUCGUCGUCAUCGUCAUCGUCAUAGUUGUCAUCAUCAUCGCCAUCAUCGUCGUCGUCGUCGUUAUCGUCGUCUUCGUUGUUUUUGUUGUUGUUGAUGUCGUUGAUAUCAUUAUUGUAGUUGUCGCUGUUGUCGUUGUUGUUCUUGUUGUCCUUGAUGUCGUUGUUAA